rnacentral:rRNA from 1 species
UACAGAGGUUGCGAGCGUUGUUCGGAAUUACUGGGCGUAAAGCGCGCGCAGGCGGCCCUUUAAGUCUACCCGUGAAAUGCCGGAGCUCAACUCCGUGCACGCCGGGGGAUACUGGGGGGCUGGAGACAUGUAGAGGCAAGCGGAAUUCCGGGUGUAGCGGUGGAAUGCGUAGAUAUCCGGAAGAACACCUGAGGCGAAGGCGGCUUGCUGGGCAUGAUCUGACGCUGAGGCGCGAAAGCGUGGGGAGCAAACAGG